CUUUCCAUCUUAUUUUCUUUUAUUUUUCUUACAAAGGUAGUUAUAAAUUAUUUGGUAAUCUGAUUAUUUUUACAUAUACAUUGGAUAUAUUUCCAUGGGACUACAACAGAUCAAUAUCACUGUUUUUAAGAGGUACACAGUACUUCAAUGUAUAAAUGUUCGUUGACUCAUAUUAAUAGACAUUUUUGCUAAUACAAAUCAUGCUGCAAUGAACUCCCCUGUACAUACAUCCUUGCCCACUUGUCCAAUUACAGCAGGUCCUCACUUCAUGUCCCCUAUAGGUUCUUGGAAAUUGUGACUUUAACUGGAACAACUUUAAGCAAAACAACAUAUAAGGAAACCAAUUUUACCAAAGGCUAACUGAUAUAAACAAGAGUUAAGUUCCCACAGCAUAUUUCUGGUCACUAAAAUAUCAAGCUUCUAAAUAAAGACCCCAAACACUUGUAAUAUUAAACAUUAAAAUAAAUGUGAGCUAUACAUACAUUUUUAAAAGAUUAAUAAAAAUAAGUCAGGUCAUUUUUUACCCAGUUAUUCCAGUUCAGGGUCUUGGGUGACCAGAGCCUGUCCUGGGAGCUCAGGGUGCAAGGUGGGAACUAACUCUGGACAGGACGUCAUCCUAUCGCAGGGUGCACUCACACACCCGCCCACACCCACUCAGACUGGGGCCAUUGAGACAAGCCAGUUCACCUAGCAUGCACAGCUUCAGAAUGUGUGAGGCAACGGGAGUGCAUGGACAGAAGCCAUGCAGACAUGGGGAGAACGUGCACACUCCACACAGACAGUGGCCCCGGCAGGGAAUCAAUAUUUUUUCUUGUCAAUGUUGCAAGAAAAUAAUGUUGAAUGACAGGAAAAACAUUAUUCUAGGACCUACUGUAUUUCUUUAUAAGUUUCUCUGAACAAACUUUGCUAGAUCAAGUUAUAUAUUUUUUUAAGACCUUUGAUACAUAGUGCCAAAUUGCCCUCCCAUAGAAAAGGUGUACUUGUUUAGUCAAUCUCACUGAUUUUGUAAGAGUGUGGUUUUUUCCUCCUACUCUUACAAAUGCUGGGUGUAAGCCUUUUUUCCCAAUUGAAAGAUAAAAAUUGGUACCUCUGUAUUUCAUUUUCCUUCGUUAAUAACAAGGUUGAAUAUGUUUCUGUAUGCUUACAGCUAUUUAUAUUUUUUCUUUUUUGAACUGUCUGUUUUUUCUCGCGUCCAUUUUUCUAUUGGGAUUUUUCAUAUUUUCCUUCCUGAUUUGUAGGAACUCAUUACAUACAAAGAUGAGAUCUUCUGGGCUGUAUUUCAGAAGUUUUAUUGUCCCGUGAGAUGUUAAUAGGUGAACUGAGGGGAAAAAAGACUUCCAUGGUCAGAUUUAACACAUCAUUUCCUAAACUUCAUUGACCGUGAGGACUUUUUUCUUUUUCCUCCCAGAACACCCAUUGGCAUGGUUCAGGACAUUGGUGUUCUGAGCACUAACAUUUGAGAAAUUGUUCUGUAAAGGAUAUUAAUGCUUUAUCUGUUACAUAUGUGGUGGGAUUCCCCCUCCUCCGCCAGUCAUUUGUCCUUUCCUCUACAUGAUUUUUUUUCAUACAGCUUUUAAUUCGUGUAUUCACAUCUCUCAAUAUUUUCUUUUGUGGUAAUAUAGAAGGAGGAACCCUGAAGUCAUACUUGUUUGCUUUGAAUCCUGGCACUGCCACUUGUUGGGGCCUUUGGAAAAUUACCCUGUCUGUGCCUCAAUUUUACCAUGUAGAAAAUGAGAAAAAUUAAUGUUACCAAACAAAGUGAUUGUGAGGAUUAAAUUACUUGAUAGAAGUAAAGCACAGAGUAUUAGAUGUUGAUGAUGAUGAUGGUGGUUUACUUUUUGGAUUAUAUAGAAAGUCUCUCUCCUUCUCUGUUGUAAAAAAAAAAAAAAUUGCCCAUAUUUUAUUGUCAUAUUUUUACGGAAGUUAAUUUUGAUAUGAGCUAUGGACUAAAUAAUUUUCUGUUUUCCCCAAUGCUUAGCCAGAUUCUCCCACUGCAAUUAAUUGAUUAAUGCUCCCCUUAUCAUAUACUAUUACUUUCUUUUUCUGGGUCUUUCUCUUCUGCUCAGUCUAUUCUGAUACCAAGGCCCCUUCUUUCCUAUUCCUCUUUAGAACGUUCACAGCUACAUUUGCCUAAAUCAAGGGCACAUGUUGGAUUCCCUCUGGGAGUUGCCCCAACAGACCUUUGGUAGGGGAGAGGGGCCUGCAGGGUGGGAUCCAGGUGUCUCUGACACAGGUGAGAAAUGCGGAUCCUACAGACUGAAUUUUAACUGACGCUGUGCCCUGUUCAUCCCCAUGUGCUGCUGAGGCUUGGUGUUGAGGGACAGCCUGGGGACUCUCUUAGGAACAUUUAAACUCCAGUGUUGUUCAUGUUGUUCACCAAAUCACAGAAAAAGUGAGAUCCUCAUACUCUACCUUGUCCCUCCUCAUUCUGCCGCGCCAGUCAAAAUGACCUCUAAAUAAGCAGAAAAGAUUUGAUUAGGGGCAGAGGGGAUUCUAACCUGACACAUCCUAAGCUAUGGAAAGAGAGCCAACUCGUCUCAGUUGAUAGGAAGAUUUGAUACUGGGACGCUCCAUGAAGGUGAUACUGGAGCACCAUUGAGGAUGUUUCACUCAGAACUGAGAGUCCUUGGGUUGCCUGUCAGGCCCAGCACAACCUUCUCCUUUUCUGCACCACAUCAUCUCUUGCUCACUUGGUUCCAACCACAAUGGUCUCUUUGCUGUUCCUCAAACAUGCUCCCACUUUAGGACAUUUGCACGUGGUUUUUCCUCCAGAAUGUUCCUCCCCACAUACCCACAUAGCUUGUUCCCAUGGAAGCUUAAGGCUUUUGUUCCAAUGUCACCUUGUCAGUGAGGCCAUCCCUGACCACUCUAUUGAAAGCUGUGCCUGGAGAUCCUCAACCUUUCUUGCCUUAUUUUUCUCCACAGUGCCAGUCACUGUCUGACCAUCUAUUUCUCCUCAUUGUAUUGUUGAUUGUCUCUCUCCCCUAGAAUGUUAGCUUCGAAGAGUCUACCUUCUGUUUGGUUUCCUGCUGUACUCUCAACACCUAGAAAAGUGCCUGGCAUAUAUAGGACUCCACUAUUGUUUGUAGAUAGAAGAGAAAAUGAGUGUAUCCGUCAGGCAAAGUCACUUGCAUGAUACUUCAUGAUGUGUCCAGGCCUAGUAACAAUAGCAUGUUUUCUGAGAAUGUAGGCUGACUUAAAAGACUCUGGAUUUUCAAGCUAGCCUCUACAAAUAAGAUAUCUCUAAAGUGGGGAGAAAGGCUGCUGAUAUGGUUUGGCUGUGUUCCCACCCAAAUCUCAUCUUGAAUUGUAGCUCCCAUAAUUCCCACGUGUCAUGGGAGGGACCAAGUGGGAGGUAACUGAAUCAUGGGGGCAGGGUUUUCCUGUGCUGUUCUCAUGAUAGUGAAUAAGCCUCUGACGGUUUUAUAAAGGGCAUUUCCCCUGUACACGCUCUCUUGCCUGCUGCCAUGUAAGAUGUCCCUUUGCUCUCCCUUCCUCCAUCUUCUGCCAUGAUUGUGAGGCCUCCCCAGCCAUGUGGAACUGUGAGUCCAUUAAACCUCUCUCCUUUAUAAAUUACCCAGUCUCAGUUAUGUCUUUAUUAGCAGCAUGAGAACAGACUAAUAUAGCCGCAUCUCUCAAAAGCGAGAACAGACAUAUGUCUGCGGUAACAUCUUUUAUCUGAUGCCCUAGCUUCAUUCCUGAGCUGCCACAGAGCCACUCAAAAUGAAAUUCAAAUUCAAACCACAGUGAGAUACCACCACACACCCACCAGUAUGGCUACAAUAAAAAUGCAGAAAAUACCAAGUGUGGGCGAGGAUGGGGAGGAACUGAAACUCUCAUACACUUUGAAAAACUAUUUGGCAGUAUCUUCCAAAGCUGCAUGUGCAUAUAUCAUGACCCAGCAUUUUCACUUCUGCAUACCACCCAACAGAAACACCUACCUAUGUCCAGCUGGAAGACAGGCAGGCACAACAUUCACAACAGCACUGUUUGUAAUGGCCAAAAUCUGGAGCAAAAAAUGGAGAAAAAUA
rnacentral:lncRNA from 10 species